UCCCUGGAGUCCAGUGGUUAAGACUCUGUGCUUCCAAUGCAGGGGGUGUGGGUUUGAUCCCUGCUCAGGGAA
rnacentral:tRNA from 1 species